GUGCCAGCAGCCGCGGUAAUACGUAGGUGGCAAGCGUUGUCCGGAUUUACUGGGCGUAAAGGGAGCGUAGGUGGAUAUUUAAGUGGGAUGUGAAAUACUCGGGCUUAACUUGAGUGCUGCAUUCCAAACUGGAUAUCUGGAGUGCAGGAGAGGAAAGUAGAAUUCCUAGUGUAGCGGUGAAAUGCGUUGAGAUUAGGAAUAAUACCAGUGGCGAGGGCGUCUUUCUGGACUGUAACUGACACUGAGGCUCGAAAGCGUGGGGAGCAAACAGGAUUAGAUCCC
rnacentral:rRNA from 1 species